rnacentral:rRNA from 1 species
CCCUUAGAUGUUCUGGGCCGCACGCGCGCUACACUGAUGCAUUCAACGAGUUUUACCUUGGCCGAGAGGCCUGGGCAAUCUUUUAAACCUGCAUCGUGAUAGGGAUAGAUUAUUGCAAUUAUUAAUCUUGAACGAGGAAUUCCUAGUAAACGCAAAUCAUCAAUUUGCAUUGAUUACGUCCCUGCCCUUUGUACACACCGCCCGUCGCACCUACCGAUUGAAUGGUCCGGUGAGGCUUUGGGAUCUGAGCGGAAAGAGCGUUUCGCUGUUUCUGCUCGGAAAACUCAGUCGAACCUUAUCAUUUAGAGGAAGGAGAAGUCGUAACA